UCCGAGUUGACCCCGGCAGUCUCCUACGAGUCCCCGCCAUUACGCGCUGGCAACUAAGGACAAGGGUUGCGCUCGUUGCGGGACUUAACCCAACAUCUCACGACACGAGCUGACGACAACCAUGCACCACCUGUCACUCUGUCCCCCGAAGGGGAAAGUCCUAUCUCUAGGAUUGUCAGAGGAUGUCAAGACCUGGUAAGGUUCUUCGCGUUGCAUCGAAUUGAGCCACACGCUCCGCCGCUUGUGCGGGCCCCCGUCAAUUCCUUUGAGUUUUAGCCUUGCGGCCGUACUCCCCAGGCGGGGCACUUAAUGCGUUAGCUACGGCACGGAACCCGUCGAUAGAGUCCCACACCUAGUGCCCAACGUUUACGGCGUGGACUAC
rnacentral:misc_RNA from 1 species